ACCUUCGGGGGCUGAUUUUUGGGCGCGGCUGUGCCCGUGGCCUAUUUUUGGCACACGGAGGCCGCCCGCCAAGUCUGGGGCCAUUCCGAGUCCCGCGGACGAACUUCGCCCACGCCCCCCACAUCGGCUAUAGCCCACCCGUUUUUUGGCCAUUUUUCCGCUGGGGGGUCUUGGGACCCCGACCUUUGGGGGCUUAUUUUUGGGCGCGGUUGUGCCCGUGGCCUAUUUUUGGCACACGGAGGCCGCCCGCCAAGUCUGGGGCCAUCCGAGACCCGCGGACGAACUUCGCCCACGCCCCCCACAUAGGCUAUAGCCCACCCGUUUUUUGGCCAUUUUUCCGCUGGGGGGUCUUGGUACCCCGACCUUCGGGGGCUGAUUUUUGGGCGCGGCUGUGCCCGUGGCCUAUUUUUGGCACACGGAGACCGCCUGCCAAGUCUGGGGCCAUUCCGAGUCCCGCGUACGAACUUCGCCCACGCCCCCCACCAAGGCUAUAGCCCACCCGUUUUUUGGCCAUUUUUCGGCUGGGGGGUCUUGGGACCCCGACCUUCGGGGGCUGAUUUUUGGGCGCGGCUGUGCCCGUGGCCUAUUUUUGGCACACGGAGGUCACCCGCCAAGUUUGGGGCCAUUCCGAGUCCCGCGGACGAACUUCGCCCACGCCCCCCACCAAGGCUAUAGCCCACCCGUUUUUUGGCCAUUUUUCCGCUGGGGGGUCUUGGGACCCCGACCUUCGGGGGCUGAUUUUUGGGCGCGGCUGUGCCCGUGGCCUAUUUUUGGCACACGGAGGCCGCCCGCCAAGUCUGGGGCAAUUCCGAGUCCGGCGGACGAACUUCGCCCACGCCCCCCACCAAGGCUAUAGCCCACCCGUUUUUUGGCCAUUUUUCCGCUGGGGGGUCUUGGGACCCCGACCUUCGGGGGCUGAUUUUUGGGCGCGGCUGUGCCCGUGGCCUAUAUUUGACUCACGGAGGCCGUCCGCCAAGUCUGGGGCCAUUCCGAGUCCCGCGGACGAACUUCGCCCACGCCCCCCACAUAGGCUAUAGCCCACCCGUUUUUUGGCCAUUUUUCCGCUGGGGGGUCUUGGGACCCCGACCUUCGGGGGCUUAUUUUUGGGCGCGGCUGUGCCCGUGGCCUAUUUUUGGCACACGGAGGCCGCCCGCCAAGUCUGGGGCCAUUCCGAGUCCCGCGGACGAACUUCGCCCACGCCCCCCACAUAGGCUAUAGCCCACCCGUUUUUUGGCCAUUUUUCCGCUGGGGGGUCUUGGGACCCCGACCUUCGGGGGCUUAUUUUUGGGCGCGGCUGUGCCCGUGGCCUAUUUUUGGCACACGGAGGCCGCCCGCCAAGUCUGGGGCCAUUCCGAGUCCCGCGGACGAACUUCGCCCACGCCCCCCACAUAGGCUAUAGCCCACCCGUUUUUUGGCCAUUUUUCGUCUGGGGGGUCUUGGGACCCCGACCUUCGGGGGCUUAUUUUUGGGCGCGGCUGUGCCCGUGGCCUAUUUUUGGCACACGGAGGCCGCCCGCCAAGUCUGGGGCCAUCCGAGACCCGCGGACGAACUUCGCCCACGCCCCCCACAUAGGCUAUAGCCCACCCGUUUUUUGGCCAUUUUUCCGCUGGGGGGUCUUGGGACCCCGACCUUGGGGGGCUGAUUUUUGGGCGCGGCUGUGCCCGUGGCCUAUUUUUGACACACGGAGGCCGCCCAGCAAGUCUGGGGCCAUUCCGAGUCCCGCGGACGAACUUCGCCCACGCCCCCCACAUAGGCUAUAGCCCACCCAUUUUUUGGCCAUUUUUCCGCUGGGGGGUCUUGGGACCCCGACCUUGGGGGGCUGAUUUUUGGGCGCGGCUGUGCCCGUGGCCUAUUUUUUGCACACGGAGGCCGCCCGCCAAGUCUGGUGCCAUUCCGAGUCCCGCGGACAAACUUCGCCCACGCCCCCCACCAAGGCUAUAGCCCACCCGUUUUUUGGCCAUUUUUCCGCUGGGGGGUCUUGGGACCCCGACCUUCGGGGGAUGAUUUUUGGGCGCGGCUGUGCCCGUGGCAUAUUUUUGCCACACGGAGGCCGCCCGCCAAGUCUGGGGCCAUUCCGAGUCCCGCGGAAGAAAUUCGCCCACGCCCCCCACAUAGGCUAUAGCCCACCCAUUUUUUGGCCAUUUUUCCCGCUGGGGGGUCUUGGGACCCCGACUUUGGGGGGCUGAUUUUUGGGCGCGGCUGUGCCCGUGGCUUAUUUUUGCACACGGAGGCCGCCCGCCAAGUCUGGUCCCAUUCCGAGUCCCGCGGACGAACUUCGACCACGCCCUCCACCAAGGCUAUAGCCCUCCCGUUUUUUGGCCAUUUUUCGGCUGGGGGGUCUUGGGACCCCGACCUUCGGGGGCUGAUUUUUGGGCGCGGCUGUGCCCGUGGCCUAUUUUUGGCACACGGAGGCCGCCCGCCAAGUAUGGGGCCAUUCCGAGUCCCGCGGACGAACUUCGCCCACGCCCUCCACCAAGGCUAUAGCCCACCCGUUUUUUUGCCAUUUUUCCGCUGGGGGGUCUUGGGACCCCGACCUUGGGGGGCUGAUUUUUGGGCGCGGCUGUGCCCGUGGCCUAUUUUUGGCAGACGGAGGCCGCCCGCCAAGUCUGGGGCCAUUCCGAGUCCCGCGGACGAACUUCGCCCACGCCCCCCACAUAGGCUAUAGCCCACCCGUUUUUUGGCCAUUUUUCCGCUGGGGGGUCUUGGGACCCCGACCUUGGAGGGCUGAUUUUUGGGCGCGGCUGUGCCCGUGGCCUAUUUUUGGCACACGGAGGCCUCCCACCAAGUCUGGGGCCAUUCCGAGCCCCGCGGACGAACUUCGCCCACGACCCCCACAUAGGCUAUAGCCCACCCAUUUUUUGGCCAUUUUUCCGCUGGGGGGUCUUGGGACCCCGACCUUCGGGGGCUGAUUUUUGGGCGCGGCUGUGCCCGUGGCCUAUUUUUUGCACACGGAGGCCGCCCGCCAAGUCUGGUGCCAUUCCGAGUCCCGCGGACAAACUUCGCCCACGCCCCCCACCAAGGCUAUUGCCCACCCGUUUUUUGGCCAUUUUUCGGCUGGGGGGUCUUGGGACCCCGACCUUCGGGGGCUGAUUUUUGGGCGCGGCUGUGCACGUGGCCUAUUUUUGGCACACGGAGGCCGCCCGCCAAGUCUGGGGCCAUUCCGAGUCCCGCGGACGAACUUCGCCCACGCCCCCCACCAAGGCUAUAGCCCACCCGUUUUUUGGCCAUUUUUCCGCUGGGGGGUCUUGGGACCCCGACCUUCGGGGGCUGAUUUUUGGGCGCGGCUGUGCCCGUGGCCUAUUUUUGGUACACGGAGGCCGCCCGCCAACUCUGGGGCCAUUCCGAGUCCGGCGGACGAACUUUGCCCACGCCCCCCACCAAGGCUAUAGCCCACCCGUUUUUUUGCCAUUUUUCCGCUUGGGGGUCUUGGGACCCCGACCUUCGGGGGCUGAUUUUUGGGCGCGGCUGUGCCCGUGGCCUAUGUUUGCCACACGGAGGCCGCCCGCCAAGUCUGGGGCCAUUCCGAGUCCCGCGGACGAACUUCGCCCACGCCCCCCACAUAGGCUAUAGCCCACCCGUUUUUUGGCCAUUUUUCCGCUGGGGGGUCUUGGGACCCCGAUCUUCGGGGGCUUAUUUUUGGGCGCGGCUGUGCCCGUGGCCUAUUUUUGGCAGACGGAGGCCGCCCGCCAAGUCUGGGGCCAUUCCGAGUCUCGCGGACGAACUUCGCCCACGCCCCCCACAUAGGCUAUAGCCCACCCGUUUUUUGGCCAUUUUUCCGCUGGGGGGUCUUGGGACCCCGACCUUGGGGGGCUGAUUUUUGGGCGCGGCUGUGCCCGUGGCCUAUUUUUGGCACACGGAGGCCUCCCACCAAGUCUGGGGCCAUUCCGAGCCCCGCGGACGAACUUCGCCCACGCCCCCCACAUAGGCUAUAGCCCACCCAUUUUUUGGCCAUUUUUCCGCUGGGGGGUCUUGGGACCCCGACCUUCGGGGGCUGAUUUUUGGGCGCGGCUGUGCCCAUGGCCUAUUUUUGCACACGGAGGCCGCCCGCCAAGUCUGGUGCCAUUCCGAGUCCCGCGGACGAACUUCGCCCACGCCCCCCACCAAGGCUAUAGCCCUCCCGUUUUUUGGCCAUUUUUCGGCUGGGGGGUCUUGGGACCCCGACCUUCGGGGGCUGAUUUUUGGGCGCGGCUGUGCCCGUGGCCUAUUUUUGGCACACGGAGGCCGCCCGCCAAGUCUGGGGCCAUUCCGAGUCCCGCGGACGAACUUCGCCCACGCCCUCCACCAAGGCUAUAGCCCACCCGUUUUUUUGCCAUUUUUCCGCUGGGGUUCUUGGGACCCCGACCUUGGGGGGCUGAUUUUUGGGCGCGGCUGUGCCCGUGGCCUAUUUUUGGCAGACGGAGGCCGCCCGCCAAGUCUGGGGCCAUUCCGAGUCCCGCGGACNNNNNNNNNNNNNNNNNNNNNNNNNNNNNNNNNNNNNNNNNNNNNNNNNNNNNNNNNNNNNNNNNNNNNNNNNNNNNNNNNNNNNNNNNNNNNNNNNNNNUCGCCCACGCCCCCCACAUAGGCUAUAGCCCACCCGUUUUUUGGCCAUUUUUCCGCUGGGGGGUCUUGGGACCCCGACCUUGGGGGGCUGAUUUUUGGGCGCGGCUGUGCCCGUGGCCUAUGUUUGGCACACGGAGGCCUCCCACCAAGUCUGGGGCCAUUCCGAGCCCCGCGGACGAACUUCGCCCACGACCCCCACAUAGGCUAUAGCCCACCCCUUUUUUGGCCAUUUUCCGCUGGGGGUUCUGGGACCCCGCCUUCGGGGGUUAUUUUUGGGCGCGGCUGUGCCCGUGCCUAUUUUUUGCACAGGGAGGCCGCCCGCCAAGUCUGGUGCCAUUCCGAGUCCCGCGGACAAAUUUCGCCCACGCCCCCCACCAAGGCUAUUGCCCACCCGUUUUGGGCCAUUUUUCGGCUGCGGGGUCUUGGGACCCCGACUUUCGGGGGCUGAUUUUUGGGCGCGGCUGUGCACGUGGCCUAUUUUUGGCACACGGAGGCCGCCCACCAAGUCUGGGGCCAUUCCGAGUCCCGCGGACGAACUUCGCCCACCCCCCCCACCAAGGCUAUAGCCCACCCGUUUUUUGGCCAUUUUUCCGCUGGGGGGUCUUGGGACCCCGACCUUCGGGGGCUGAUUUUUGGGCGCGGCUGUGCCCGUGGCCUAUUUUUGGUACACGGAGGCCGCCCGCCAACUCUGGGGCCAUUCCGAGUCCGGCGGACGAACUUUGCCCACGCCCCCCACCAAGGCUAUAGCCCACCCGUUUUUUUGCCAUUUUUCCGCUUGGGGGUCUUGGGACCCCGACCUUCGGGGGCUGAUUUUUGGGCGCGGCUGUGCCCGUGGCCUAUUUUUGCCACACGGAGGCCGCCCGCCAAGUCUGGGGCCAUUCCGAGUCCCGCGGACGAACUUCGCCCACGCCCCCCACA
rnacentral:lncRNA from 1 species